AGCUCCCGCCGGGCCGCGGGGACAGCGCCGCGGCCGCGCCGGCCUUGCGGAGCGGGACUGUGGUGAGCCGGCAGGACGGGCCUUGGGCCGGCCGGGGCCCCUGAAACAGCGUGUGAGAGAAUGGCUGGCAGCUUGUUAGUUCCUGAAAAUAAAACAUGGUGUGACAUUCCCAAAUUGGACUUAAUAAAUCAGUCUCAGAAAACACGCAGCCCCCUGACUCCCACGUAUAAAGUGUUACCUGACCUGGGCAUUUUCAGAAAAGACAGCAAGUGCCGCCGAGUACUUGAGCAGAGCAUAUCGAGAAAAUGGAAUUUAACUGGCUGCAGUACCUUGAACCACUUGGGAAACUAUAAGCUACUCAACUAGAGUGAAUAACAGUGUGAUGGAACAGACAUAAGGGUACCCAAAGUAUUUUUGAACUAGUACCUUGUUUCCAAAAGUGACUAUGAGCAGGUACCAAGGAAACAAGUGAGAAUUCCACAAGCUUAUAAUCACAAAGAUGAUCAGAGGGAUGGAACAGCUAUCCUAUGAAGAAAGGCUGAGAGAGUUGGGGUUGUACAGCCUGGAGAAGGCUCCAGGGAGACCUUACAGCACCUUCCAGUACCUAAAGAGAACUUAAAAGGGGAGAGUGACUUUUUACAGGUACAGAUAAUGAUAGGACAAGGGGGGAAGAGUUUUGAACUAAGAGGAGAGAUUUAGGUAGAUGUUAGGAAGAAAUUUUUUACUUAUGGGGUAAAGAGGCUUUGGAACAGGUUGCUCAGAGAAGCUGUGGAUGCCCGAUCCCUGGAAGUGUUCAAGGCCAGGCUGGACGGGGCUCUGAGCAACCUGGUCUAAGUGAAAGGCAUCUGCCCAUGAGAGAGGAGUUGAAACUGGAUCAUCCUUAGGGUCCCUGCCUACCCAAGCUUUUCUAUGAUUCUUUGAAUAUUUUCACAGAUAUUUUUCCAGCUUCCAACCAGAUGGCAUCCUCAACUGAAUGCCUUGUGGGUUUCUUUUGCCUCACCACCCCUCAAGUUUUUGUACCUAUCCCCAGUAGAUUUCUGUACCAUUAAUUUCCCCAUUCUCUGUGAACCCACAUCAAUCCCAGGCUUUGCCAAGGAGUUCUGCAGGUCUACUGCCAUCUUCAGGAAGCACCCUCUUGGCAUAUGUUGAAGUCAAGGCCUCUGAGCUCCAAUUGUGGCCACCCUUGCUUCUGUAGUAGAGAGAGUGAACUGCCAGUGGCAGCACAUUGUGUGUCCUGCUCCUGACUGUCUUCCACACAAUCCUCUAAACAGGCUGUUCAGGGCAGAGCCUUUUUCAGACCACUGUAUUACCUGCUGAAGUACCUUGCUGGCCUUUGGGAGGAAGGUAAUACUGAAUGCUCACAGCUUCUCUUGACUAGAUGCUGCAGGUCUGCCUGUGGUGAGCUGCCUCACAGUUUGUAUUGUUUCCUCUCCUAUCUGCCAGGGAUUAAUUAAUAGAUUUUUCUCAUAAGUAAUAAGACCAUUUAUAAUUAUUGCUUUUACAUAAUACUUGAUGUCUGUCUACACCUUACUUCAUUUUAGAGCAUAUCAGAUAUAAAGCCCUACCAGUGGCAAAUGUUUCCUUUUUCUUUUAAUAGGUACUUUCCAUAGAAUUUGUCAUUUAAUAAUCUUAACUCAGAUAAAAUCAAAUAAGAAACCUAUUUUGUGGUCUUGUUAAUGUAAGCCUACCUAGGAUGAAAUUCAAGAUACCAUCCAAUAACCUUUGUAAAUAUUUGCUUUAUAUGUUUCUCAGGAAGCUUCACAAGCCAAUUAUUUCAGCUUCCAUAAUGAGCUGGUUUUGAUGGCUUGCUGUUCAACACACCUCUAGUUAAGAGUUGUCAUUAACUCUGUUGUCUUCUUUGUUCUGUACGGUUGCAAGUACUUUGAGAGAGUUCAAAUAAAUACUAAGUAACAAUUGAUGUUUUUUAGCCUUAAUUCCAGGUUUAGCUAUCAUGGAUGAAACUGCCAACAGAUCAGAAGAAUGCAAGAGCU